AUACCCUAUUAUUCUAAGCGUUAAUUAGAGAUCCUGAGUAGUAGGAGUUAAGGUCUUGAAACUCAAAGAAUUUGGUGGUGGUUUAGUCCGUUCAGAGGAAUNUGUCCCAUAAUCGAUAAUCCACGCUUAUUUAACUUGGGUUUGUAUUCAGCUUGUAUACCGCCGUCAAAAGAGUGAUUCUAGAGAAUACCCUCGAGUAUUUCCAUUAAAACAUAUGUCAGGUCAAGGUGCAGCCUAUACCCAAGGGGAGAUGGAUUACAAUAAGGCUACUUAAACGGAUGAGGAAUUGUAAAUAUUUAUCGGAAGGAGGAUUUGAAUGUAAUGGUAUUUAGAUAAAUUAAGUGAAAGGGGCUCUAAAACAAGCACACAUCGCCCGU
rnacentral:rRNA from 1 species